GUGGACUACAUCUCCCCUGAUGCUUUGCUAGCAUUAUGACUGUCAGGGCAUUAUGGGAAAUGUAGUCCACAACAUCUGGAGUGCUGAAGGUUGCCUACCCUUGCAUUAGAUCUAGGCAGUCUCUGUACUACAUGUUCUGAGAUCUGUUAUCAGGAAGCUGAGUAUUCUAAGGCUCAGUUAAUAUACUCUCCAUCUAUUGCUAUUCUAGGUUCUGUACCUAUUUUGUUAUGGAG